AUAUGCUGAUAACCACUGAUUUAAUGGCUUCAGCUAGUUCAGUAGCAUGAGGUAUGAGUUAUUUGUGAAGCAAGAAUUUGUGCGAAACAAUGCUGGUGAAUAAAGUCUCAUCUGUGCACACCCGCUAGCAAAAGGAAGUCAUUUUCAUUAAACUGCAUCUAUAAGAUGUUUCUCAAGCGAAAGAAGCAUGCAAAAUAGCAUAUUCCAGCCCUGCUGUUCGUUAGACUCGUUUUUGAGACAGGAAUUAUUCUGACGCUAUUGAACAACUGCACGCUACCUAACCGAGGCAUCACUUUUAAAAUUUGAAGGUGACAGUCUGGAACCGUAUGGAAUAUGUAUCAUGUGUAGGCCGCUAUGGGCGAACAGAGCGAGCACUUGCGUCUUGUCCCCGACGUGCAAAUAUGACUGGAGGCUUAAGAAGAGAGCAGAGAACUGGCGGGACGUUUGAAUCUGUGAUAUUUACAUGGAGUGCAACAGGCAACAUAAACUCGCACAUGCAUCCCCCCAACACGGAACUGACAAGUUAUAUGGUCUGUAGAGUCAUCCUGGCACAGCCGACUUCGGAUACGUCACUGACUCAUUCGUAUCAGCUGGCAUGAGUCAUAAAGUUAAAUGCUGUUUAACUUUCUGGCCUCACGCACCAUUCCCCACCACCAGUGCCACAAACAGCCCCUAUAUGGAUCAUGCAUCUUCGGCAGAACGUGUCUUGAAUCUUUUGCAUUUGUAUGUGAAGUCUGGUGUGUCUGCUCACAUGAAUGGAAGUGCAGGGAAGUGCCACAUAAUACAGUGAUGAUCUCAUAUCUUGUGC